ACGAACGCUGGCGGCGUGCUUAACCCCUGCAAGUCGCACGGAAAGGCCCUGCUUUUGUGGGGUGCUCGAGUGGCGAACGGGUGAGUAACACGUGAGUAACCUGCCCUUGACUUUGGGAUAACUUCAGGAAACUGGGGCUAAUACCGGAUAGGAGCUCCUGCUGCAUGGUGGGGGUUGGAAAGUUUCGGCGGUUGGGGAUGGACUCGCGGCUUAUCAGCUUGUUGGUGGGGUAGUGGCUUACCAAGGCUUUGACGGGUAGCCGGCCUGAGAGGGUGACCGGCCACAUUGGGCCUGAGAUACGGCCCAGACUCCUACGGGAGGCAGCAGUGGGGAAUAUUGCACAAUGGGCGGAAGCCUGAUGCAGCAACGCCGCGUGCGGGAUGACGGCCUUCGGGUUGUAAACCGCUUUCGCCUGUGACGAAGCGUGAGUGACGGUAAUGGGUAAAGAAGCACCGGCUAACUACGUG
rnacentral:rRNA from 1 species